AUGGCUUCCUGCCUCACGGAUAUCAUUAAUACCAACAGAGUAGACUUCAUUGGUUUGCAGGAGACCAUGAAAAAAAUUAUAGCCCUCUUUUUUAGGAGAUUUGACCCCCAUUCGGAGUUUAGAUGGGAAUGGAUCCCAUCGAUUGGGAAAUCUGGUGGGAUUCUAUGUGGAUCGAGACUAGAAACACUUGAGGUUAUAGAUGUAGUGCGUGGUAAAUUUAUAUUGCAGCUCAAUCUCUUUGACAAGAUUAAAAGAUGUGAAUGGGCUCUGCUGGUGGUGUAUGGUGCAGCCCAUGAUGAAAAUAAGCCUGAAUUUUUGGCUGAGUUGUCCUCCUUUUGUCAUAGGAUCAAAAUUCCUUAUUUGGUGGGUGGUGAUUUUAACAUCAUUAGACACUGUGGGGAAAAGAAUAAAAAGACUCCUUUAUCCCAUUUCUCGGAUGUCUUUAAUGCUGUCAUUCAUCUACUAGCCCUGAGGGAGAUUUUUAUGGGCGGUGGGUGCUUCACAUGGUCGAACAAACAAGAACACCCCACUUUGGAAAAACUGGAUAGGGUCUUGAUGUCCUCCGACUGGGAAGAUCUAUACCCGCUGGUGUCAGUUACUAAGAUGGUCAAGGAUUUAUCUGAUCAUAACCCUUUGCUUCUA
rnacentral:rRNA from 1 species